ACCAGAAACAGGUGUCUGUGAAAGAAUUGAAAGAGAAGAGAAGGAAUCCUUUCUCCAACCAACACGUCUCGCUUCCAAUGGCUCUAACUUCCACCAUCUCUCUCUCCUCGUCUUCAUCUUCUUCUUCUUCAUUUCUUGCUCAGUUUUCUUCUUCUUCACAUAAGAAAUUUCUACCCAACUCUGUCAAAAUCCGAGCUGUUUCUUCUUCUUCUUCUUCAGAUUCUUCUCCGAGACCGAGAGUGGUGGUUACACGAGAACAUGGAAAGAACAUCAAACUCAUUAAUGCCCUCGCAAAACAUGGAAUUAACUGCUUUGAGCUACCUCUCAUCCAGCAUACUCAGGGCCCUGAUUUGGAUAGGCUUACUACAGUAUUACGUGGGACUUCAUUUGACUGGAUUGUUAUAACUUCUCCUGAGGCAGGAUCAGUAUUUCUCAAUGCUUGGAAGGCUGCUGGGAGCCCUAAAGCUCAGGUAGGCGUUGUAGGAGCUGGUACAGCAACCGUUUUUAAAGACAUGCUACAGUCACCUCAGCAAUCUCUGAAUAUCUCGUUCUCACCAUCAAAAGCAACUGGCAAGGUACUAGCGCUGGAGCUUCCAAAACACGGGAGUGGAAGAUGCACUGUCCUGUAUCCCGCUUCAAUGAAGGCAGGAAAUGAGAUUGAGACGGGGCUGACUGCACGUGGAUUUGAGGUCACAAGGCUAAAUGCUUACUCGACGGUUCCAGUCUAUGAUGUAGACCAAAUGGUUUUGGCACAAACACUCUCUGCUCCAGUUGUCGCUGUUGCUUCUCCAUCAGCAGUUAGGGCUUGGGUCAAUCUUAUAUCAGAAGUAGAGAGUUGGGACAGCGCCGUUGCCUGCAUUGGCGAGACAACUGCUUUGGCAGCUAAAAGAUUAGGUUUGAAGAAUGUAUACUACUCAACAAAUCCUGGUCUUGAUGGGUGGGUUGGUUCCGUCCUAGAAGCUUUGAGUGUGUGUGGCGAAAUAAAGAAGGCAUCUUGCGGUUUUAGGCAAAAACUCAAGAUUGGAAGAAGAGGGAAGGACAACAUGUAUUAUCGACGCUCUUUGUUUCCUAGGAGACUUCGAUCUCAUCCCAAUAUGUGAUAUCAUCGCCUAGGAUUGGCGAUGCGUCCUUGAAGACUGAGGAGGCGGCUUUCGGAGAUAUCCGUUGGGUGGCUUGAUUCCACUAUCACUGAUGAAGACCUAAAGCAAACCUAUUCUCACUACGGUGAGAUCUGUUAAAAUGCCUCUUGUCAAAGGAUGUGGAGUCAUACAGUUUGCUAACAGAAACAUGCUGAGGAAGCAUGGGAAAGUUGAAUGGGACAACCGUUGGCAAAAACAGACUGUUAAGUCUUUCUUGGGGUCGCAAUCCCUCGAACAAGCAGGUAUACAUAUCAAAAGGGAUAUGUUUAAGUGGUUUUUUUCUUAGUUAUCCCACGAUUUUUGGCCAGUCAGCCAAACAAUUAAAUUAUUAGUUUGUUUUUUCUUAAGAAUGAUCUACUUUAUGUCCUGAAUAUUUGUUUUAUGUUGAUGUGAGCAAUAUCCCAGCAGCAACGGUUACACUUGCAGUAUACUUUGGAGGACAAUUAUGUCAUGUGUGACUAUGUAUAUGGUGCAGCUCAGGACCCAAGCAUGUACGUUGCUGCUGCUGACGCAGCGUAGAGUAUAUACGAGUUAUUUGUGAUUGCAUAAGGUGGUUGUCAUUUCUCUGUUCAUGUGAGGCCUUCCAUGAAAGAUCUGGAUUCUUGGUCAUGAUUGAUGGAAGCAUUUCUACUGCUUGCACUAGGUACUAAGAGGUUAACCCAUUUUAUCAUUUAAUAUCCAUCAGUGAAAAUGAUCAAGUUACAUUUAAAUGGUGGAUAUGGGGUUGGAUGGGGCUUCCUCCGGGCAAUUGUUAUGGUUCCCAUGAUAGCAAUUUUAUAAAUCUGUGAUAUGCUAAACAAACUGCAAGAGCCCUAGAUGAGGACGCGUCAUAUGGAUGUGCUAUACCGCUGAUGUCGGUUGGGUCCUAGUAAAAGUUGGUUUCUUAUUCUUUACUCCUUACCAUGAUGUGUUGAUGGCUGCUAACGGGGUUACCAGUUUAGGUAUCAAAUCACUCUGUAAACUGAUACCCCAAUUAGCAUGAUGUGUUGCAUUGUUUAUCUCUUUUUUUUUUUUACUAUUUUGUUUUUCUUUUUUACUAUUUUACGUCCAUGGUUUGAUGUCUCACUGCUUAUGUCUCCGGACAAAAACAAGUCUCCAUGAGUUGGAUUUGAAUGAAAACGCUGCUCUUUAAUUACUUAAA